rnacentral:rRNA from 1 species
GCAUAUCAAUAAGCGGAGGAAAAGAAACUAACAAGGAUUCCCCUAGUAACGGCGAGUGAAGCGGGAAGAGCUCAAAUUUGUAAUCUGGCACCUUCGGUGUCCGAGUUGUAAUCUCGAGAAGUGUUUUCCGCGCCGGACCGCAUACAAGUCUGUUGGAAUACAGCGUCAUAGUGGUGAGAACCCCGUAACUGAUGCGGAUGCCCGGUGCUUUGUGAUACACUUUCGAAGAGUCGAGUUGUUUGGGAAUGCAGCUCAAAUUGGGUGGUAAAUUCCAUCUAAAGCUAAAUAUUGGCGAGAGACCGAUAGCGAACAAGUACCGUGAGGGAAAGAUGAAAAGCACUUUGGAAAGAGAGUUAACAGUACGUGAAAUUGUUGGAAGGGAAACGCUUGAAGUCAGACUUGCUAUUUGGAAUUCAGCCGCAAGGUGUACUUUUCAAUUCGCAGGCCAGCAUCAGUUUUCGGGGGUGGAAAAGGGUAGAGAGAAGGUAGCAAUUUCGGUUGUGUUAUAGCUCUUUGCUGGAUUCA